rnacentral:snRNA from 1 species
CUUUCAGGAAAUAUGAACCGUC